UCCAGAAUAAUUUGGCCUUAGCUUUCAGCCGGCAAAAUGAUAGCCACUUAGCACAAAAGUCAUAACAAGAGCAAGAGAGAGCUUAAGUUUUAUAGUGAGAAUAGGAGAGUUCGAGUGUUUUUAAAAGGGAAAAGGGGAAGGGUUUUAUAGCGUACAAUAGAGUAAAACAAAUAAAGGUAUGAAUCAAUCACAUGCAAAUAAAGUACGACACUCAAUUAGCAAUAAGUUAAGGUUGGCAUAGACCAAUUAACAUGCAUAAAUCAAGCUAGCAUCAGUUAAUGAGAUCAAUCAGUAGUCAAAUAAGGUAAGGUAUAAUUCCAAAAUCAAUUACAAGUUGACUCUAUAUAAAAUCAGGGCAGUAAGGUUAAGUAGCAAAGAUUACUAAUCAGACAUUUGUCCAAAUAAGGUAAGAACAGGUAAGUCGAACAAGAUAGGAAAAUCAGUAUCGUACAGGAAAGGAAAGAAUAAAAUCUUAGUAAGGGUUUCAAAAACCUAAUUUUUUU
rnacentral:lncRNA from 1 species